CUGGCCUUGACAAUGCGCUCUGUGACUUCACGAGUACAUUGCAUUCCAGAUGGGAAAAGCCCUGUGGAGCUGAGAGGCCCUGUGAAGGAAGAGGCCCUGUGGAGGAUAGAUGCCUUCUGAGGAGAGAGGUUCUUCCCCCUGUGGCGAAGCCCUGUGGAGAGGAGCCUAAGAUGAAUGGGAGCUCUGCCACUGUUUCUUCUUCUGCUACUCUGUUUCAGCAGGGGCCUCUGGCCUCAUUUGUGUUCCCUGGGGACCACAGCUAUGGCACCAGAGCCGAAGUUAUCCUGAGUUCACCUCAGCUGAUCUGUAGGCAGCAACUUUAAGGAAGACACGUGUAGAGUGGCAAGUGGAAGGCAGGGUACUGCUGAGUCUGAGCUCUCCGAAAGAGUAGCCAUAGAAGACCAAAUUGCAGAAAUGAACCCCCUGGACAAGGACACCACUCUCCUGGAAAAAGGGUCUCAAUGAGAAAACCAACACACAAACAAGAUACUCUCAAGUAUUGCUCCGAACUGGGAGCCGAGAAACACUUCAAGGACUGGGAAGCAGACUGCUAUAAAUUGGC
rnacentral:lncRNA from 1 species